rnacentral:rRNA from 1 species
GACGAACGCUGGCGGCGUGCCUAACACAUGCAAGUUGAGCGACGAACCAGGGCUUGCCCUGGGGCAAAGCAGCGAACGGGUGAGUAACACGUGGGUAACCUACCCCGAUAACCGGGACAACCCGAGGAAACUCGGGCUAAUACCGGAUGUGCUCACUGGACUUCGGUUCAGUGCGUAAAGGAAGCUUCGGCCUCCGUAUCGGGAGGGGCCCGCGGCCCAUUAGUUUGUUGGUGAGGUAACGGCUCACCAAGACCGCGAUGGGUAGCUGGUCUGAGAGGACGAUCAGCCACACUGGGACUGAGACACGGCCCAGACUCCUACGGGAGGCAGCAGUGGGGAAUCUGGCGCAAUGCGCGAAAGCGUGACGCAGCAACGCCGCGUGGGGGAAGAAGGCCUUCGGGUUGUAAACCCCUUUCAGGAGGGACGAAGGUUCGGCGGUGAAUAGCCGUCCGGACUGACGGUACCUCCACAAGAAGCCCCGGCUAACUACGUG